AUGGCAACGGCAACAAAAAGGGGAGGGGGAGGAGUGGGAACAACCAUGUCCACAAAAAGGCAGCAAUUGACUGCGCAGACAGGCUGGGAGCGGGCCUCGGGGGCCCCCCUGCCCGGGAUUAAACCCCCCUCGAGCCAGGCCUGGGAUGCUUCCUACCCCCGCCCCACCCCAUCCUCCCGCUCCAGUCUUUACGGUCGGAGAGCCAGGCUCAGGACGUUAGUGCCCCACCCCCCUUCCUGGGCCACCUCCUCCUGGGCACAUCCGGGACGGGGAGGGACUCCCGCCCCACGUUUUGCGGAGGACGGGGACUUGUUUAUUCGUGAAAAAGCAGCCCUGCCUGGGGCUGAGCUGGCUGUGGGCCCGAAAGCUGCAAUUCACCGCAGAAACAGCAGAUGGGAGCAGUGGAGACGCGACGGAGAGCAGCAUGGAAGGAGGAGCCAGCAGAUGGCAGUGCAGAGGAGCGAACAGACAUCCCUGCAGCGGCAGCUGAUCCCGGGGCUUCCUGGGGAAGUAAAUAGCGGGCUUUGGUGCAGCGAGGUGGGCUUCCCUGGGCUCCUGGCUUGCCCUAGCUGUUGCGUUCUCUGGGUUCCUGUAUUUCCCACCAAGGACGUCGCAGUAGAAGCUGGACUGAUUCUGGAGUCGGAGGAUCUAGGUUCAAAUCCUCCGGGACACUUACAACGUGUGUGACCUUUGGAAAUGUGUGUAACCUCUUUGGGCCUCAGUUUCCUCAUCUAUAAAAUGGAAGGAUUGGACAAGAAGGCCUCCAAGUUCUCUUUUAAUUCUUGGGAAGCCUUCUCAACUCUACUUCCUUGACCGAGCCUGUAUUUCCUCUCCAAUCAAUGGUUUAGCGAGCUGUGGGAGAGUGUACCCCUGUGCAAGUGGGGGGCAAUUCCCUUUAUGGCUAAUUUUGCUGUGCUGUUUAAUAAAGUGUUAUUUGCUUUGAAGUAGCUUGGCCUC
rnacentral:lncRNA from 1 species